GACUGUUCAGUGGGGUCACAACUAAUGAUCACAGUCAGUUACAGGUUCCUUUGUUCCUUCUCCACCUCCACUGCGUCACUUGACUGGUCAAAA
rnacentral:sRNA from 1 species